GCGCCGAGGAGAGAGAGGAAGAGGGGACAGAUUCUCCGUGUCGUCGCCGAGUUUUGUCCGGCAGAGAGGGCAAGGGCGAGCAGAGCAGAGGCGGCGAGAUGACUCAUAUCCUUCCCAACCCCGAUUAGAUCUGCGCGUUUUCAUCAUCUCUUACGUUUGAUUGCUUGAUCUGUUGUUGUUUCGAUUCCGUUCUUGCUCUGUUGCUUCCUCCUUGACUCGGCGCGCACGCGGCAACCAGAGGGAACGCGACCGUGAGCGCGCGGCGGCGCGGAAGCCCAACGCCAAGGGGUCCCAGGACGGGCUCACCCCGGAGCAGCGCCGCGAGAGGUGCGUGUCAUCGAUUUGAUUCCAUCCCCCCCUUACGUUUUGCUUGACUCGAUCGGUCUCCGAUACGGCCGAAUCUCGGUCGGUUGGUUCUGACCCUCUUCUUUCCGAUCCGGUUUGUGGGAUCUUUGCUGGCAGGGACAAGAAGGCGCUGGAGGAGAAGGCGGCCAAGAAGGCGCAGCAGGCGGCGGGCGGCGGCACCGGGACCUCCACGGACAACAAGAACAAGGGCGGCGGCAAGAAGUAGGGGCCGCACUGGGCGCCCGCGGCGCAACUCUGUACGAUUAUCGAUGCCAUUAGCUUGUGUGCCUUCGCAUCCACGUAGAUGCGAUGUUUGUUGGGUCAUAAACUCAUUCGUCGUCUGCAAGCUUGCAGUUACUCUGAUACAUCAUGAAUUUGUGAUGGCAAUAAAUACGUGGCGUUUUGGUUUUGUGGGUUAUGUUCUGUUUGCCUUUGCGUUCCGUGGUCUGUGUGAUUGUGCUAUCGUUGGACCUCUUGAGUAUCACAACUAGCAUACAAGAUGCAUGAUAAUAAGAGAUGUCUUGCUACUUGUAAGCAUCUGUCUACUAGCUUGUUGAAACUGGAAAGUUGAUUAUGCUGUUGUGCUGUCUAUUUUUUUUUCACGGU
rnacentral:lncRNA from 1 species